CUAAAUAAUAGGUGUCGUGUUAGGAAGUUAACAUCUUUUUCACCCUGUACUUUGCCAUUUUUAAAUGAUCGGCACUGUAGAGCAGAUUGACUCCCUUGUGUUUUACAAACAUUACGGUUAACGUUGCUACUAAAGCCGACACAAUAGAUCGGUAGUCAGUGACAACGCAAGUGGAGUGACUGUUUCUGGUUUAACCUAUUAUACAGUGUCGCUCAAAUCCGGCCAGUGCUAUAAUAAAGCGCUGCUAGCCGAUAAAUGCUACUAGCAAGUAAUCUCUUUUGUGGGUAGAUACCGUUUUUCAAAGCUAUAUCAGCUACUAGCUGGCUAGCUAGUGUGGCAUCAUAUUGCUUUGUGACUGUGUGUUGCUCCUUGCGUUACGUUACACCUGUCUGGGUAAUCUGAGGUAUGGAGUUUCCUUUUAAUAUUAAUCACUUAUUCUCUGAGAGAAUCUCCGUCUUGGACGAAGUCCUUGUUGCAGGUCGUAAAUCCGUUGGAAGAGGAGCAACAGUGAAGCUGCGGAAGCUGCGGCAUCAUCAAGACAAUCUACAUGGUCAUGAGUAAAGUGAAGAUUGCUGCAUACUGUGGGAAUGAAAACAGAGAAUGAAAUCAUCAAUCCUUAAAUUAAACACCAGUAUUACAUCACUGAUUUAUUUACUUGUCUUUUUUUAAAUGUCAAUAAAACUGUUCUUUGAAAACAAGUAAUAAUAAAAAUAAGCUUAAGGAUAA